CCUACGGGUGGCUGCAGUAGGGAAUAUUGCUCAAUGGGGGAAACCCUGAAGCAGCAACGCCGCGUGGGGGAUGAAGGUUUUCGGAAUGUAAACUCCUUUUGUUAGAGAAGAUAAUGACGGUAUCUAACGAAUAAGCACCGGCUAACUCCGUGACAGCAGGCGCGGUAAUACGGAGGGUGCAAGCGUUACUCGGAGUCACUGGGCGUAAAGGGCGCGUAGGCGGGAUAACAAGUCAGAUGUUAAAACCUAUGGCUUAACCAUAGAACUGCAGUUGAAACUGUUAUUCUCGAGUGUGCGAGAGGUAUGUGGAAUUCUUGGUGUAGGGGUAAAAUCCAUAGAGAUCAAGAGGAAUACUCAUUGCGAAGGCGACAUGCCAGAACAUAACUGACGCUGAUGCGCGAAAGCGUGGGGAGCAAACAGGAUUAGAUACCCGAGUAGUC
rnacentral:rRNA from 1 species